rnacentral:rRNA from 1 species
UACAGAGGGUGCGAGCGUUAAUCGGAAUUACUGGGCGUAAAGGGCGCGUAGGCGGUGAUAUGAGUGUGAUGUGAAAGCCCCGGGCUUAACCUGGGAAGUGCAUCGCAAACGAUAUGACUGGAGUAUAUGAGAGGGUGGCGGAAUUUCCGGUGUAGCGGUGAAAUGCGUAGAGAUCGGAAGGAACGUCAAUGGCGAAGGCAGCCACCUGGCAUAAUACUGACGCUGAGGCGCGAAAGCGUGGGGAGCGAACAGG